rnacentral:rRNA from 1 species
UCGAGAAUCUUUCGCAAUGGGCGAAAGCCUGACGAAGCGACGCUGUGUGGACGAUGAAGGCCUUCGGGUUGUAAAGUCCUUUCGCGCGGGAACAAGAGAAGGUAUCCAAAACAUAUCUAAUUUGAGGGUACCGCGUAAAGAAGCACCGGCUAACUCCGUGCCAGCAGCUGCGGUAAUACGGAGGGUGCAAGCAUUAAUCGGAUUUACUGGGCGUAAAGGGCGCGUAGGCGGGUAGACAAGUCAACUGUGAAAUUCCGGAGCUCAACUCCGGAGCUGCAAUUGAAACUGUCUGUCUAUAGAGGGAUGGCGGAGAAAAUGGAAUUCCACGUGUAGCGGUGAAAUGCGUAGAUAUGUGGAAGAACACCAGUGGCGAAAGCGGUUUUCUAGCUAUUACCUGACGCUGAGGCGCGAGAGCAUGGGGAGCAAACAGGAUUAGAUACCCCCGUAGUCC